UACGUAGGGCGCAAGCGUUGUCCGGAAUUAUUGGGCGUAAAGAGCUCGUAGGCGGCCUGUCGCGUCCGCUGUGAAAUCCCGGGGCUUAACCCCGGGCGUGCAGUGGAUACGGGCUGGCUAGAGGCAGGCAGGGGAGAACGGAAUUCCCGGUGUAGCGGUGAAAUGCGCAGAUAUCAGGAAGAACACCGGUGGCGAAGGCGGCUCUCUGGGCCUUACCUGACGCUGAGGAGCGAAAGCGUGGGGAGCGAACAGG
rnacentral:rRNA from 1 species